rnacentral:tRNA from 1 species
UCCCUGGUGGUCUGGUGGUAAGGACUCAGCACUUUCACCGCUGUGGUUCGGAUUCAAUCCCUGGUCUGGGAA